rnacentral:tRNA from 1 species
GUUUUUUAUGGUUAGGGAGUGUACAAGUUUUAAAGGUGGUUUGAAUUUAAAUUUUGUCGAGAAUGCCGAGUUCGAAUCUAGAAAAAACA